UUUAUGGAGAGUUUGAUCCUGGCUCAGGAUGAACGCUGGCGGCGUGCCUAAUACAUGCAAGUCGAGCGAACGGACGAGAAGCUUGCUUCUCUGAUGUUAGCGGCGGACGGGUGAGUAACACGUGGAUAACCUACCUAUAAGACUGGGAUAACUUCGGGAAACCGGAGCUAAUACCGGAUAAUAUUUUGAACCGCAUGGUUCAAAAGUGAAAGACGGUCUUGCUGUCACUUAUAGAUGGAUCCGCGCUGCAUUAGCUAGUUGGUAAGGUAACGGCUUACCAAGGCAACGAUGCAUAGCCGACCUGAGAGGGUGAUCGGCCACACUGGAACUGAGACACGGUCCAGACUCCUACGGGAGGCAGCAGUAGGGAAUCUUCCGCAAUGGGCGAAAGCCUGACGGAGCAACGCCGCGUGAGUGAUGAAGGUCUUCGGAUCGUAAAACUCUGUUAUUAGGGAAGAACAUAUGUGUAAGUAACUGUGCACAUCUUGACGGUACCUAAUCAGAAAGCCACGGCUAACUACGUGCCAGCAGCCGCGGUAAUACGUAGGUGGCAAGCGUUAUCCGGAAUUAUUGGGCGUAAAGCGCGCGUAGGCGGUUUUUUAAGUCUGAUGUGAAAGCCCACGGCUCAACCGUGGAGGGUCAUUGGAAACUGGAAAACUUGAGUGCAGAAGAGGAAAGUGGAAUUCCAUGUGUAGCGGUGAAAUGCGCAGAGAUAUGGAGGAACACCAGUGGCGAAGGCGACUUUCUGGUCUGUAACUGACGCUGAUGUGCGAAAGCGUGGGGAUCAAACAGGAUUAGAUACCCUGGUAGUCCACGCCGUAAACGAUGAGUGCUAAGUGUUAGGGGGUUUCCGCCCCUUAGUGCUGCAGCUAACGCAUUAAGCACUCCGCCUGGGGAGUACGACCGCAAGGUUGAAACUCAAAGGAAUUGACGGGGACCCGCACAAGCGGUGGAGCAUGUGGUUUAAUUCGAAGCAACGCGAAGAACCUUACCAAAUCUUGACAUCCUUUGACAACUCUAGAGAUAGAGCCUUCCCCUUCGGGGGACAAAGUGACAGGUGGUGCAUGGUUGUCGUCAGCUCGUGUCGUGAGAUGUUGGGUUAAGUCCCGCAACGAGCGCAACCCUUAAGCUUAGUUGCCAUCAUUAAGUUGGGCACUCUAAGUUGACUGCCGGUGACAAACCGGAGGAAGGUGGGGAUGACGUCAAAUCAUCAUGCCCCUUAUGAUUUGGGCUACACACGUGCUACAAUGGACAAUACAAAGGGCAGCGAAACCGCGAGGUCAAGCAAAUCCCAUAAAGUUGUUCUCAGUUCGGAUUGUAGUCUGCAACUCGACUACAUGAAGCUGGAAUCGCUAGUAAUCGUAGAUCAGCAUGCUACGGUGAAUACGUUCCCGGGUCUUGUACACACCGCCCGUCACACCACGAGAGUUUGUAACACCCGAAGCCGGUGGAGUAACCUUUUAGGAGCUAGCCGUCGAAGGUGGGACAAAUGAUUGGGGUGAAGUCGUAACAAGGUAGCCGUAUCGGAAGG
rnacentral:rRNA from 1 species